rnacentral:rRNA from 1 species
AUUGAACGCUGGCGGCAUGCCUUACACAUGCAAGUCGAACGGCAGCGGACCUUCGGGUGCCGGCGAGUGGCGAACGGGUGAGUAAUGUAUCGGAACGUACCUUUCAGUGGGGGAUAACGUAGCGAAAGUUACGCUAAUACCGCAUAUUCUGUGAGCAGGAAAGCAGGGGAUCGCAAGACCUUGCGCUGAUUGAGCGGCCGAUAUCAGAUUAGCUAGUUGGUGAGGUAAAGGCUCACCAAGGCGACGAUCUGUAGCGGGUCUGAGAGGAUGAUCCGCCACACUGGAACGGAGACACGGUCCAGACUCCUACGGGAGGCAGCAGUGGGGAAUUUUGGACAAUGGGCGCAAGCCUGAUCCAGCCAUGCCGCGUGAGUGAAGAAGGCCUUCGGGUUGUAAAGCUCUUUCGGCCGGGAAGAAAUCGCAUGGGUUAAUACCCUGUGCGGAUGACGGUACCGGCAUAAGAAGCACCGGCUAACUACGUGCCAGCCGCCGCGGUAAGAC